rnacentral:rRNA from 1 species
CCUACGGGAGGCAGCAGUGAGGAAUUUUCCGCAAUGGGCGAAAGCCUGACGGAGCAAUACCGCGUGAGGGAUGAAGGAUUUUGGUCUGUAAACCUCUUUUCUCAAGAAAGAAGUUCUGACGGUACUUGAGGAAUAAGCAUCGGCUAACUCCGUGCCAGCAGCCGCGGUAAUACGGGGGAUGCAAGCGUUAUCCGGAAUGAUUGGGCGUAAAGCGCCUGUAGGUUGUUUAUUAAGUCCGUUGUUAAAGCCUAGGGCUUAACCCUAGAAAAGCAAUGGAAGCUAGUAGACUAGAGUAUGGCAGGGGUAGAGGGAAUUUCUAGUGUAGCGGUGAAAUGCGUAGAUAUUAGAAAGAACACCGGUGGCGAAAGCGCUCUACUGGACCAUUACUGACACUCAGAGGCGAAAGCUAGGGUAGCAAAAGGGAUUAGAUACCCCUGUAGUCCUAGCCGUAAACGAUGGAUACUAGAUGUUGUGCAUUAUGUACAGUAUCGUAGCUAACGCGUUAAGUAUCCCGCCUGGGGAGUACGCUCGCAAGGGUGAAACUCAAAAGGAAUUGACGG